rnacentral:rRNA from 1 species
UACGAAGGGGGCUAGCGUUGUUCGGAAUUACUGGGCGUAAAGCAUAUGCAGGCGGAUCGUUAAGUCGGGGGUGAAAUCCCGAGGCUCAACCUCGGAACUGCCUUCGAUACUGGCGACCUUCGAGUCCGGGAGAGGUGAGUGGAACUCCGAGUGUAGAGGUGAAAUUCGUAGAUAUUCGGAAGAACACCAGUGGCGAAGGCGGCUCACUGGCCCGGUACUGACGCUGAGAUACGAAAGCGUGGGGAGCAAACAGG